CGACGUGAGUAACCUGCCUCUAAGAGGGGAAGAACAUUCUGAAAAGAAUGCUAAUACCGCAUAACAUAUAUUUAUCGCAUGGUAGAUAUACCAAAGAUUUAUCGCUUAGAGAUGGACUCGCGUCCGAUUAGUUAGUUGGUGAGGUAACGGCUCACCAAGACUGCGAUCGGUAGCCGGACUGAGAGGUUGAACGGCCACAUUGGGACUGAGACACGGCCCAG
rnacentral:rRNA from 1 species